CUCCACUUUCUUAAUCACAUCCAUUCCUUCAAUAACUUGACCAAACACCACGUGUUUUCCGUCGAGCCACUCGGUUUUGGCCGUACAAAUGAAAAACUGCGAUCCGUUAGUUCCAGGGCCAGCAUUAGCCAUGGAGAGAAUUCCAGGUCCAGUAUGCUUUUUAACGAAAUUCUCGUCGGCGAAUUUGGCGCCGUAGAUCGAUUCACCACCGGUACCGUUUCCGGCAGUGAAAUCACCUCCUUGACACAUAAAUCCAGGGAUCACACGGUGAAAUGAUGAUCCUUUGUAGUGUAACGGCUUGCCGGACUUUCCGACGCCUUUCUCUCCGGUACAGAGUGCUCGGAAAUUAUCCGCCGUUUUCGGAACUACAUCGUUGAACAAUUCCAUCACUACACGGCCAGUCGG
rnacentral:lncRNA from 1 species